rnacentral:rRNA from 1 species
UACAGAGGUCUCAAGCGUUGUUCGGAUUCAUUGGGCGUAAAGGGUGCGUAGGCGGCGCGGUAAGUCGGGUGUGAAAUCUCGGAGCUUAACUCCGAAACUGCAUUCGAUACUGCCGUGCUUGAGGACUGGAGAGGAGACUGGAAUUUACGGUGUAGCGGUGAAAUGCGCAGAUAUCAGGAGGAACACCGAUGGCGAAGGCAGCUCGCUGGGACGGUACUGACGCUGAGGCGCGAAAGCGUGGGGAGCAACAGG